GGUGAAUCAUGUAGCCUUAAAGAACUCUUCACACAAAAAGAUAUUAAAUAUACCCAAAGGAUUCCAAUUUACACAAAGAUGUUAAAUAUGACCAAAGGAUCCCAAAUUUAGAAGAACAACAUUUAGUGAUAUAAUUUAAGAACAGCAGCAGCAAGAAGAGAUCCUGUUACGGGUACCUGAAAGAAGUCAUCCAUUCGAACAAAUUGUAGUGAAUCUAUUUUGAUUCAACACUAUCUCAGGUCAUUUAAUUACCUCACCGAAGCACAAUGUAAGCUUUUUCUUCUAUCCUGUUUACAUUUUCUUCAGAUGAAAUUUUCCCAGAAAUCUUUUGGUUGAACAUGAUGAAACUAGGUGUGGAUGUGACUUGGAAAAUCCUCUUGCUGAUCAGCUUGACUACACAGUAUUGUGCACCAGAACUAAAAACAGAAAUGUUAUCAAAUAACAUCUUUUCCUAAAUGGCUAGUACGAUGAAAAUGUUCCUUGGUUUCAGAAAUCCCAUACCUGGAACCUGGGUGCUACCAGAAAAUUCUGUCAGGCUGCUGAUACUUUUCAUAGCAAGUCCAGCGGGUACCAUGAAACUCUAAACCCAGUUGUCUGGAAAUCAAUGACCAAGUUUCACGAAGGACAGAUCGAAGCAUGAUAAAACUCCCUUUAUUUACAGAAUGGCUCACUCCGGAGGUACCACCUAUUGACGUAAUCGGCAGAAUGUCUGAUUUAAUCGUGCCGGAAGAAAAUACUUACAAGAAACAUGUACACAGGAAAUUUUAGAACAGAUCUAGUAGCAUUUUUAACUCACAAAACCAUAGUGUUUGAAACAAUAUACAAACAAGUCUAAAAUUUGUCUGUCAAAAAGUGUUUGUUUGCACUCCUAUCAAGAUUUUUCUGAUUUCAGGUAUCAGGUGUAAGUACUUGCAAAACAUGCAAAAAUCUUCUGUUAUCUAGCAAAAAUCAGCGAAAUCAUAUCAGAAACUAGACAGUAUUUUGGACAAACAUUAAUUCAGAAGUGGCCUUGGAAAGUGUGAUACUUCAUUAUCUCUGUCUUAUUUCCUUAUUUGAAAAAAGUUAAGCAUUGUAAAAGGAUUAUUUGAAUUACUUUAUAAGGUAAACUGUAUUAUACUAAGGAAUUUGUAAAUAAAAAUUGAUUGACAUA
rnacentral:lncRNA from 1 species